CGCUGGCGGCAUGCUUUACACAUGCAGUCGAACGGUAACAGGCCGCAAGGUGCUGACGAGUGGCGAACGGGUGAGUAAUGUAUCGGAACGUGCCCAGUCGUGGGGGAUAACGCAGCGAAAGCUGCGCUAAUACCGCAUACGAUCUAUGGAUGAAAGCGGGGGACCGUAAGGCCUCGCGCGAUUGGAGCGGCCGAUAUCAGAUUAGGUAGUUGGUGGGGUAAAGGCUCACCAAGCCAACGAUCUGUAGCUGGUCUGAGAGGACGACCAGCCACACUGGGACUGAGACACGGCCCAGACUCCUACGGGAGGCAGCAGUGGGGAAUUUUGGACAAUGGGCGCAAGCCUGAUCCAGCAAUGCCGCGUGCAGGAAGAAGGCCUUCGGGUUGUAAACUGCUUUUGUACGGAACGAAACGGUCUGGGUUAAUACCCUGGGCUAAUGACGGUACCGUAAGAAUAAGCACCGGCUAACUACGUGCCAGCAGCCGCGGUAAUACGUAGGGUGCAAGCGUUAAUCGGAAUUACUGGGCGUAAAGCGUGCGCAGGCGGUUUUGUAAGACAGUCGUGAAAUCCCCGGGCUCAACCUGGGAAUGGCGAUUGUGACUGCAAAGCUGGAGUGCGGCAGAGGGGGAUGGAAUUCCGCGUGUAGCAGUGAAAUGCGUAGAUAUGCGGAGGAACACCGAUGGCGAAGGCAAUCCCCUGGG
rnacentral:rRNA from 1 species